UGCAAGUCGAACGGUAGCACAGAGAGCUUGCUCUUGGGUGACGAGUGGCGGACGGGUGAGUAAUGUCUGGGAAACUGCCUGAUGGAGGGGGAUAACUACUGGAAACGGUAGCUAAUACCGCAUAACGUCUUCGGACCAAAGUGGGGGACCUUCGGGCCUCACACCAUCGGAUGUGCCCAGAUGGGAUUAGCUAGUAGGUGGGGUAAUGGCUCACCUAGGCGACGAUCCCUAGCUGGUCUGAGAGGAUGACCAGCCACACUGGAACUGAGACACGGUCCAGACUCCUACGGGAGGCAGCAGUGGGGAAUAUUGCACAAUGGGCGCAAGCCUGAUGCAGCCAUGCCGCGUGUAUGAAGAAGGCCUUCGGGUUGUAAAGUACUUUCAGCGGGGAGGAAGGCGAUAAGGUUAAUAACCUUGUCGAUUGACGUUACCCGCAGAAGAAGCACCGGCUAACUCCGUGCCAGCAGCCGCGGUAAUACGGAGGGUGCAAGCGUUAAUCGGAAUUACUGGGCGUAAAGCGCACGCAGGCGGUCUGUCAAGUCAGAUGUGAAAUCC
rnacentral:rRNA from 1 species